rnacentral:rRNA from 1 species
UACGUAGGGUGCAAGCGUUGCCCGGAUUUAUUGGGCGUAAAGGGCGCGUAGGCGGCUCGGCACGUCCGUUGUGAAAUCGCCCGGCUCAACUGGGCGGGGUCAGCGGAUACGGUCGAGCUUGAGCAAGCUAGGGGGCAAUGGAAUUCCCGGUGUAGUGGUGGAAUGCGUAGAUAUCGGGAGGAACACCUGUGGCGAAAGCGGCGCACUGGACCACAACUGACGCUGAGGCGCGAAAGCUAGGGGAGCAAACAGG